rnacentral:rRNA from 1 species
UACGGGGGGAGCAAGCGUUGUUCGGAUUUACUGGGCGUAAAGGGCGCGUAGGCGGCCACCGCAAGUCGACUGUGAAAUCUCCGGGCUUAACUCGGAAAGGUCAGCCGAUACUGCGGGGCUAGAGUGCAGAAGGGGCAACUGGAAUUCUCGGUGUAGCGGUGAAAUGCGUAGAUAUCGAGAGGAACACCUGCGGCGAAGGCGGGUUGCUGGGCUGACACUGACGCUGAGGCACGAAGGUCAGGGGAGCAAACGGG